rnacentral:rRNA from 1 species
GACGAACGCUGGCGGCGUGCUUAACACAUGCAAGUCGAACGGAAAGGCCCUGCUUUUGUGGGGUGCUCGAGUGGCGAACGGGUGAGUAACACGUGAGUAACCUGCCCUUGACUUUGGGAUAACUUCAGGAAACUGGGGCUAAUACCGGAUAGGAGCUCCUGCUGCAUGGUGGGGGUUGGAAAGUUUCGGCGGUUGGGGAUGGACUCGCGGCUUAUCAGCUUGUUGGUGGGGUAGUGGCUUACCAAGGCUUUGACGGGUAGCCGGCCUGGGAGGGUGACCGGCCACAUUGGGACUGAGAUACGGCCCAGACUCCUACGGGAGGCAGCAGUGGGGAAUAUUGCACAAUGGGCGGAAGCCUGAUGCAGCAACGCCGCGUGCGGGAUGACGGCCUUCGGGUUGUAAACCGCUUUCGCCUGUGACGAAGCGUGAGUGGCGGUAAUGGGUAAAGAAGCACCGGCUAACUACGUG